AUUGUUGAAGUUGGUCUCUUGCAAUUUAGGUCAGAGAAGAAUAUGUGUUCAAACUGAAGUAACAGCUUGCAAGCCCUCAAGACAGCCCUCCUACUGAAAAGAUGAGCAACCCAUUACUGAAGCUUUCAAAACCAUACAAAUUACCUUCCUGGAUAUAAACAUGUAGACAGUAGCACUCCAGCCAUCCCUUCAGGAUUCCUGAGGAAAAGGUCUGCAGCGGAAACAUCAUGAAAAAACAUCUAAGAAUCAAAUGUCAUCUACAUUAAGGAUUCCAUGCACUUUUCGCCUUUUAAACAUUCAGCAAAUGAAAAUGAAAAACUGAUUGAGUAUUGCAGACACAUCUUCUCGUGGAGAACAUUCUUCAGAUCAAAUAGGCAAGAUUAUUUAAAGUCUUUGGAAAAGAAGUUGAUAUACUGACCUCCUGAGAUUGCUACAAAUGGCAGGUCUGUGGUGUUUUCAAUGUUAAAAACCCUACUGCAUUAUAAGUCUUUUGUAGGUUGUUCAUGUAGUUGUAUGAUUUAAAAUGAAGAACAUUGGGCUAAUUAGGAGGCAGCUGUUCACUUAAGCAAAUGACUCAUAC
ensembl:lncRNA